UACGGAGGGUGCAAACGUUGCUCGGAAUUAUUGGGCGUAAAGCGCACGUAGGCGGUCGAACAAGUCGGGUGUGAAAUCCCUCGGCUUAACCGAGGAAGUGCAUUCGAAAACUGUUCGACUUGAAUACUCAAGAGGGUCUCGGAAUUCCCGGUGUAGAGGUGAAAUUCGUAGAUAUCGGGAGGAACACCAGUGGCGAAGGCGGAGACCUGGGGGAGAUAUUGACGCUGAGGUGCGAAAAGCGUGGGGGAGCAAACAGG
rnacentral:rRNA from 1 species